UACGUAGGGGGCAAGCGUUGUCCGGAUUUAUUGGGCGUAAAGAGCGUGUAGGCGGCCAUACAGGUCAGCUGUGAAAACUCGAGGCUCAACCCCGAGACGUCGGUUGAAACCGUAUGGCUAGAGUCCGGAAGAGGAGAGUGGAAUUCCCGGUGUAGCGGUGAAAUGCGCAGAUAUCGGGAAGAACACCCGUGGCGAAGGCGGCUCUCUGGGACGGUACUGACGCUGAGACGCGAAAGCGUGGGGAGCGAACAGG
rnacentral:rRNA from 1 species